rnacentral:rRNA from 1 species
AAUAGAUACCCGGGUAGUCCACGCCGUAAACGAUGAGUGCUAAGUGUUAGAGGGUUUCCGCCCUUUAGUGCUGCAGCUAACGCAUUAAGCACUCCGCCUGGGGGAGUACGGUCGCAAGACUGAAACUCAAAGGAAUUGACGGGGGGCCCGCACAAGCGGUGGAGCAUGUGGUUUAAUUCGAAGCAACGCGAAGAACCUUACCAGGUCUUGACAUCCUCUGACAACUCUAGAGAUAGAGCGUUCCCCUUCGGGGGACAGAGUGACAGGUGGUGCAUGGUUGUCGUCAGCUCGUGUCGUGAGAUGUUGGGUUAAGUCCCGCAACGAGCGCAACCCUUGAUCUUAGUUGCCAUCAUUCAGUUGGGCACUCUAAGGUGACUGCCGGUGACAAACCGGAGGAAGGUGGGGAUGACGUCAAAUCAUCAUGCCCCUUAUGUCUAGGGCUACACACGUGCUACAAUGGCUGGUACAGAGAGAUGCUAAACCGCGAGGUGGAGCCAAACUUAAAACCAGUCUCAGUUCGGAUUGUAGGCUACG